rnacentral:rRNA from 1 species
CAGUCGCCGCGGGAAUACGGAGGGGGCUAGCGUUGUUCGGAAUUACUGGGCGUAAAGCGCACGUAGGCGGCUUGGUAAGUUAGAGGUGAAAGCCCGGAGCUCAACUCCGGAAUUGCCUUUAAGACUGCCGAGCUAGUAGGUGAGAGAGGUAAGUGGAAUUCCGAGUGUAGAGGUGAAAUUCGUAGAUAUUCGGAAGAACACCAGUGGCGAAGGCGGCUUACUGGCUCAUUCUAGACGCUGAGGUGCGAAAGCGUGGGGAGCAAACAGGAUUAGAUACCCCCGUAGUCCCUGUCUCUUAUAA